rnacentral:tRNA from 1 species
UGUAGUUCAGUGGUAGAGUGCUUGCCUAGCAUGCACAAACUCUGGGUUCAAGUCCCAGCA